AGAGUUUGAUCCUGGCUCAGGAUGAACGCUAGCGACAGGCCUAACACAUGCAAGUCGAGGGGCAGCGGAGAGGUAGCAAUACCUUUGCCGGCGACCGGCGCACGGGUGAGUAACACGUAUGCAAUCCACCUGUAACAGGGGGAUAACCCGGAGAAAUCCGGACUAAUACCCCAUAAUAUGGGCGUUCCGCAUGGAGAGCUCAUUAAAGAGAGCAAUUUUGGUUACAGACGAGCAUGCGCUCCAUUAGCCAGUUGGCGGGGUAACGGCCCACCAAAGCGACGAUGGAUAGGGGUUCUGAGAGGAAGGUCCCCCACAUUGGAACUGAGACACGGUCCAAACUCCUACGGGAGGCAGCAGUGAGGAAUAUUGGUCAAUGGUCGGCAGACUGAACCAGCCAAGUCGCGUGAGGGAAGACGGCCCUACGGGUUGUAAACCUCUUUUGUCGGAGAGUAAAGUACGCUACGCGUAGUGUAUUGCAAGUAUCCGAAGAAAAAGCAUCGGCUAACUCCGUGCCAGCAGCCGCGGUAAUACGGAGGAUGCAAGCGUUAUCCGGAUUUAUUGGGUUUAAAGGGUGCGUAGGCGGCACGCCAAGUCAGCGGUGAAAUUUCCGGGCUCAACCCGGACUGUGCCGUUGAAACUGGCGAGCUAGAGUACACAAGAGGCAGGCGGAAUGCGUGGUGUAGCGGUGAAAUGCAUAGAUAUCACGCAGAACCCCGAUUGCGAAGGCAGCCUGCUAGGGUGAAACAGACGCUGAGGCACGAAAGCGUGGGUAUCGAACAGGAUUAGAUACCCUGGUAGUCCACGCAGUAAACGAUGAAUACUAACUGUUUGCGAUACAAUGUAAGCGGUACAGCGAAAGCGUUAAGUAUUCCACCUGGGGAGUACGCCGGCAACGGUGAAACUCAA
rnacentral:rRNA from 1 species